rnacentral:lncRNA from 1 species
UAACAAUGAUACCAGAUGAUCGGAUAGGUCGAAUAGUCGCAAUCGCAACACUCAGAACCUACGUGAAUAUGGUUACUGUAUAAUUCAUCCUUUUGACCUCUGUGUUUAGGAUGACUCAGGGUUAAACUGUCAACCCUGAUUAGAUCAUCCGAAUCGUGCUCAACUCAAACAGUCCUAUGACUCCUCACAAAGACUAUCCUGGCCAAGAUUUUGCUAAAUUGAAACACGACUGUACACAGCUCCUGAACUGGAGUGGUCAAUCCCAUCUUGACACACGCACCAACAAGUCAAGUACUUGACUACACCCAGCAGCCUUCCAUCACUGAAUUAAAAAUUCAGGUAGUCCAGUGCCUAAGUGCAGUGAGUUGCUUGCAAGUCACCGUGGCGGUCUC